GUUUAUAUAGUUUAACAAAAAAUAUUACAUUUUCAUUGUAAAGAUAACUUUUUUAUAAAUAC
rnacentral:tRNA from 1 species